rnacentral:rRNA from 1 species
UACCAGCACCCCGAGUGGUCGGGACGUUUAUUGGGCCUAAAGCAUCCGUAGCCGGUUCUACAAGUCUUCCGUUAAAUCCACCUGCUCAACAGAUGGGCUGCGGAAGAUACUAUGGAGCUAGGAGGCGGGAGAGGCAAGCGGUACUCGAUGGGUAGGGGUAAAAUCCGUUGAUCCAUUGAGGACCACCAGUGGCGAAGGCGGCUUGCCAGAACGCGAUCGACGGUGAGGGAUGAAAGCUGGGGGAGCAAACCGG